CCUACGGGUGGCAGCAGUGAGGAAUAUUGGUCAAUGGGCGCGAGCCUGAACCAGCCAAGUAGCGUGAAGGAUGACUGCCCUACGGGUUGUAAACUUCUUUUAUAAAGGAAUAAAGUGAGGCACGUGUGCCUUUUUGUAUGUACUUUAUGAAUAAGGAUCGGCUAACUCCGUGCCAGCAGCCGCGGUAAUACGGAGGAUCCGAGCGUUAUCCGGAUUUAUUGGGUUUAAAGGGAGCGUAGAUGGGUUGUUAAGUCAGUUGUGAAAGUUUGCGGCUCAACCGUAAAAUUGCAAUUGAUACUGGCAGUGUGGAGUACAGUUGGGGUAGGCGGAAGUCGUGGUGUAGCGGUGAAAUGCUUAGAUAUCACGCAGAACGCCGAUUGCGAAGGCAGCAUACCGGCGCCCAACUGACGCUGAGGCACGAAAGCGUGGGGAUCGAACAGGAUUAGAUACCCUAGUAGUC
rnacentral:rRNA from 1 species